CCAGUGUGUCUGUCAAUUAAACAAGGUAUUAAGGUAGUGACUAAUUUAAACCUGGUUCAUUUGACAGUGAUUGGAUCUCCUUGAUUUUAUUAGUCCUGAUCAUGAUCCUAAGAGCGGAGAUGCUCAGAAGAAACAUAGGCGUUCAAAGAUAUUGCUGGCUGCUGAAAAUUCAAGCAGCGGCAGUGGAGGCGGAGGGGGAAGCGGCGGAGCAAAGUACAAAUUGAAGCCAACUCCGUACUAUAAAGAAGAUACACUUUUGCAUUGACGUUAACACAGAAAUUGUGUCAGAAAUGAAGAACACCGGACCAAAUGAAUGACCCAUCACCAGACUUGAUUCAAUCAAACAAUCCAUCCUUUUAUUCAUCCAUGCUGAACUCACCAUUAAUCCUGAUCAUCAUUUCGUCUUCACCUCUAUCUCAAAUUCAGCUGCUUGGCUAUUCUGCAGAUUCUCGCAUGGUUACCAGUGGCAAUAUUUUAUUCAUCAGGCAUCUCAAUCAUCACCAUAACUUUCUAUCUUCUUCUGAGCAACUUAGGUGCCUCUAUAGCUGAGGUUGCUAAUGAUUCUAUGGUUUCCGAGAUUAGUAAACAACCUACUUAUUUAAAGAAAGAGCAAUCAUCUUCCUCAGGGGAGCUUCAGUCAUUUGUUUUGAUGGCUACUUCAGUUGGGGGAGUACUCGGGAAUUUAGUAGGAGGGGUUGCCAUUGUAAAGUUCAG